UUCAGCAGGCAACCAAUGGGAAACUUGGAGCAGUUUGCAUGCAUUUUAAUUGGGCAAGAAUCCCACCCCAUUCUACACCACCUGUACGCAUAGAAGGAGCCUCAUGGGUUAUCUUGCUGGUCAAUUUCCUUCAGAAUUCUACCACACGAUACCCUAUUUCCCUCAUCAUCUCUAUACCGCCAACCCACUAAGGAAGAGACCUAAGAUCAGAAAACUCCAUCUUACCUCCCCUCCGUACCAGAAUCGUAAACCUCCAAAGGAAGAACAUCAAGGCAAAAUUCUGUACCAUCUUCCCUUCAUCUUCGUUCCAAUAUCUUAAGCCAAAGAGGAAGACCUCAUCACUUUAACAUACGUCUCUUUCCUAUUCUUCUUUGUCCAGCUGAGCAGCAACGCACAAGGAGAUUGAACUUGAGUUUUCAUCCCCUAUUCCCUCCCUUAGUGCGCACAACCCCAUUAAGAAGGAGAUGAUUGGAGCUCGAAUUCUUGCCUAGUUCGAGUGAGAAUAAUUGAUAAAUCUUUGGUGGCUGUAUCUCUAAGCUAUUAGUCAAUCGUUUGGGUACAUGGCAGAGGCUGUGAAUCAAAAAUAACAAAUCAACACCCCUACUCACCCUUGCUGUUUCGGUUUUAAGGUGCGCAUAAUUAUUAAAGUGUGGGCUGGUUUUGGUUGAUUAUUGCGUGGACACAAGGAGGACGCAAAAGCAUAUGAGGCCAUGGAUUAUUUGGAUGUUUGCUGUUAAAUUAUGCUGUUUGGACUUGUUGUUGUCGCUGUUUUAUUUGAUGGAUUACUGUAUUAAUUUGAGGAGUUUGGAUUAUUGUUGGAACUAUGAUUUUAUUGU